rnacentral:rRNA from 1 species
UGGGGAAUAUUGCACAAUGGGCGCAAGCCUGAUGCAGCCAUGCCGCGUGUAUGAAGAAGGCCUUCGGGUUGUAAAGUACUUUCAGCGGGGAGGAAGGGAGUAAAGUUAAUACCUUUGCUUAUUGACGUUACCCGCAGAAGAAGCACCGGCUAACUCCGUGCCAGCAGCCGCGGUAAUACGGAGGGUGCAAGCGUUAAUCGGAAUUACUGGGCGUAAAGCGCACGCAGGCGGUUUGUUAAGUCAGAUGUGAAAUCCCCGGGCUCAACCUGGGAACUGCAGCUGAUACUGGCAAGCUUGAGUCUCGUAGAGGGGGGUAGAAUUCCAGGUGUAGCGGUGAAAUGCGUAGAGAUCUGGAGGAAUACCGGUGGCGAAGGCGGCCCCCUGGACGAAGACUGACGCUCAGGUGCGAAAGCGUGGGGAGCAAACAGG